rnacentral:lncRNA from 1 species
UCAGAUAGGCCAACUUUCCAAACUAAUCUCUGAACGACCACAAGGUAGUUUGCCAAGUAAUAUCGAACCUAACCCAAGGGAACAACUCAACGCAAUUAAUAUUCAAGAUGACGAAGGAGUCGUUGAGCCUGAACCAAAACCGAGACACAAAACUGUGGUAAGCAAAGGUCAAGAUGAGGUAGAUUAUAAUAAAAACAAACCAGUGACUGUCGAAUAUAAACCUCGUGUGCC